GAUUCUACCAGCUGGGGAUGCAAAGAUGAAUGUGAAAGACCCAGCUCUUAGGAGAGGCAGCAAAGGAAACAAAAGGUUCAAAGGCUUCUUCCGGGAGGGUUUUGUUCCAGAUCUCGGUCUCUGUGUUAGCGGAAGGUGAGGACAGAGAACUGAGAGGCUAAAAACAGGGUUGACAGCAGAUGCCUGGGCUUGCUUGUGUAGCAGUCAGUACUGAGGGCAGCAUGGGCCCUGGGGAUAUGGUUAGGAAGAGGCCAUUUUCCUGAUAGAGUAACCUGAUUUUUUUGAGACACAGUCUCACUCUGUUGCCCAGGCUAGAGUGUAGUGGUACAGUUAGAGCUCACUACAGCCUUGGACUACUGGGCUCAAGUAACAUUUCCAUCUGAGCCUCCCAAGUAGCUAGGACUACAGGUGUGUGCCACCAUACCUGGCACAUUUAAGUGUGUGUGUGUGUGUGUGUGUGUGAGAGAGAGAGAGGGAGGGAGGUGGGGGGACAAAGUGUUGCUAUGUUGUCCAGGCUGAUCUUGAACUCCUGGUCUCAAGGGGUUCCCCUGCCUUGGCCUCCAUAAGUGGUUUAUAGGCAUCCACUGGGAUUACCCACUGGGGUUAUCCACAGGCAUGUGCCACUGUGUCUAGCCCUGAAGUCAGCCCAGAAUAAAUGAGAAUGAACUAUCUACUGAAGAAGCUACCUUGAGAGGUAGUUAUGAGUAUAAUCCUGGAGAGCAGAACAACUGUAACCAAGGGGACCAUAGAACCUUGAGGCUGAAGCUGAAACCAGAUGACUUGCAUUGCACCUGUCUGAAAUCAUGCAAGGAGACAGGAAGGGAGUGGGCGUCCAUUUGUGUGUCCCAGCCCCGAUGCAGGCAGAGGGUGCCCUGAGCCUUUCCCUCAUGGGAACCCUUCAUGUGGUCAGCAUUCUGACCCAUCUCAGGUAUGCAUCAGAUAAGCUUGGAGGGAACUAAUCAGGCCUGCAAAGCUAAAGACCAGAAAUGAGACUUUCCAAGGUAUUUGUAAUUUUCUUGGCCACCCUAUUUCCAUUAUCUGGAAUGCUGUCUAACAUUUAGUUAGGUGCCCAAUAAGUGUUACCAUUAUUUCCACAAAAAUAUUCCUAUUUGUUUGCUGA
rnacentral:lncRNA from 13 species